rnacentral:lncRNA from 1 species
GUCUGAUACCCUAAUGCCUAACCCUUCUCUGGCCCUUCCUGCCUCAGGUAUGCCCUGCGGGCUGGGUGGAACCCUCCCUUCUUCAACUAGGGCAUCAGCCUUCCCCUGGCUGCCAGAGGGGCACAGGGAGCUGAGCAAUGAGAGACUCUAGUGAGAGGGGAGAGGGAUGGGGUGUUGGCAUGCAGACAGGGUGCCUUGGGGGACACGGGAAUGGGGGCUUGGCUCUCUGGUCAAGGAGGAGGUGAAGCACCAGAGAAGAGAGGAAUAGCUACUGUGGUGUCUUCCUCCUCCCUGAGUUU